rnacentral:rRNA from 1 species
AGCUUGCUCUUCUUGGAUGAGUUGCGAACGGGUGAGUAACGCGUAGGUAACCUGCCUUGUAGCGGGGGAUAACUAUUGGAAACGAUAGCUAAUACCGCAUAACAAUGGAUGACACAUGUCAUUUAUUUGAAAGGGGCAAUUGCUCCACUACAAGAUGGACCUGCGUUGUAUUAGCUAGUAGGUGAGGUAAUGGCUCACCUAGGCGACGAUACAUAGCCGACCUGAGAGGGUGAUCGGCCACACUGGGACUGAGACACGGCCCAGACUCCUACGGGAGGCAGCAGUAGGGAAUCUUCGGCAAUGGGGGCAACCCUGACCGAGCAACGCCGCGUGAGUGAAGAAGGUUUUCGGAUCGUAAAGCUCUGUUGUAAGUCAAGAACGGGUGUGAGAGUGGAAAGUUCACACUGUGACGGUAGCUUACCAGAAAGGGACGGCUAACUACGUGCCAGCAGCCGCGGUAAUACGUAGGUCCCGAGCGUUGUCCGGAUUUAUUGGGCGUAAAGCGAGCGCAGGCGGUUUGAUAAGUCUGAAGUUAAAGGCUGUGGCUCAACCAUAGUUCGCUUUGGAAACUGUCAAACUUGAGUGCAGAAGGGGAGAGUGGAAUUCCAUGUGUAGCGGUGAAAUGCGUAGAUAUAUGGAGGAACACCGGUGGCGAAAGCGGCUCUCUGGUCUGUAACUGACGCUGAGGCUCGAAAGCGUGGGGAGCGAACAGGAUUAGAUACCCUGGUAGUCCACGCCGUAAACGAUGAGUGCUAGGUGUUGGAUCCUUUCCGGGAUUCAGUGCCGCAGCUAACGCAUUAAGCACUCCGCCUGGGGAGUACGACCGCAAGGUUGAAACUCAAAGGAAUUGACGGGGGCCCGCACAAGCGGUGGAGCAUGUGGUUUAAUUCGAAGCAACGCGAAGAACCUUACCAGGUCUUGACAUCCCGAUGCUAUUUCUAGAGAUAGAAAGUUACUUCGGUACAUCGGUGACAGGUGGUGCAUGGUUGUCGUCAGCUCGUGUCGUGAGAUGUUGGGUUAAGUCCCGCAACGAGCGCAACCCCUAUUGUUAGUUGCCAUCAUUCAGUUGGGCACUCUAGCGAGACUGCCGGUAAUAAACCGGAGGAAGGUGGGGAUGACGUCAAAUCAUCAUGCCCCUUAUGACCUGGGCUACACACGUGCUACAAUGGUUGGUACAACGAGUUGCGAGUCGGUGACGGCGAGCUAAUCUCUUAAAGCCAAUCUCAGUUCGGAUUGUAGGCUGCAACUCGCCUACAUGAAGUCGGAAUCGCUAGUAAUCGCGGAUCAGCACGCCGCGGUGAAUACGUUCCCGGGCCUUGUACACACCGCCCGUCACACCACGAGAGUUUGUAACACCCGAAGUCGGUGAGGUAACC